rnacentral:rRNA from 1 species
AACGAACGCUGGCGGCAUGCCUAACACAUGCAAGUCGAACGAGACCUUCGGGUCUAGUGGCGCACGGGUGCGUAACGCGGGGGAACCUGCCCUUAGGUUCGGAAUAACUCCCCGAAAGGGGUGCUAAUACCGGAUAAUGUCUGCGGACCAAAGAUUUAUCGCCUUUGGAUGGGCCCGCGUUGGAUGAGCUAGUUGGUAGGGUAAAAGCCUACCAAGGCGACGAUCCAUAGCUGGUCUGAGAGGAUGAUCAGCCACACUGGGACUGAGACACGGCCCAGACUCCUACGGGAGGCAGCAGUGGGGAAUAUUGGACAAUGGGCGAAAGCCUGAUCCAGCACUGCCGCGUGAGUGAUGAAGGCCUUAGGGUUGUAAAGCUCUUUUACCCGGGAUGAUAAUGACAGUACCGGGAGAAUAAGCUCCGGCUAACUCCGUG